rnacentral:lncRNA from 10 species
GGAAUCCGUUUCCUCUCCGCAUCAGUGGCAGAGAUGUCCCUGCCCCAACCGGUGGGUGUGCGGAUUCUGUGCGGAUUCGCACGGUGUUUGGCACGUGAAAGAAAGCACAGAAGGGUGUGUGGAAAAAGAAACUCAGUUUCCCUCACCGUACGAGAGGCUUCUGACAGCAGAAGUGUGGGGGUUUCUCCCCACCAGCAAGCAAACAAUCAGUCCUCUGGGUCUCACUCUAUUGCUCAGGCUGGAGUGCAGUGGCCCCAUCUCAGCUCACUGAGACCUUCGCCUCCCAGGCUCAAGUGAUCCUCCCACCUCAGCCUCCAGCAUAGCUGGGACUACAGACAGGGUCUCACUGUGUCACCAAGGCUGGCUCAAUCACGGCUCACUGCAGCCUCGACCUCCUGUGUUCAAGCGAUCCUCCUGCCUCAGCCUCCCGAGUAGCUGGGACUAUAGGGGUGCACCACCAUGCCCAGGUUGACAAACAUGGUGUCAGAAGUGGGAUCUGAAGCAUAAUCAUUUUCAGAAUAAACUGGUGAUUCUUGGAACCAGGGUGCAGUACUCCCUUGAGGCCUUUCAGCUCUCUACUUCCACGGCUCUCCUUUUUCUGCCCUGGUGAGUCUUCUCUCAAGCCAAGCCUCCCUCUUUUUGGCAGAUGCUCUUUAAC